rnacentral:rRNA from 1 species
CCUACGGGAGGCAGCAGUAGGGAAUCUUCCACAAUGGGCGAAAGCCUGAUGGAGCAACGCCGCGUGAGUGAAGAAGGAUUUCGGUUCGUAAAACUCUGUUGUAAGGGAAGAACAAGUACAGUAGUAACUGGCUGUACCUUGACGGUACCUUAUUAGAAAGCCACGGCUAACUACGUGCCAGCAGCCGCGGUAAUACGUAGGUGGCAAGCGUUGUCCGGAAUUAUUGGGCGUAAAGCGCGCGCAGGUGGUUUCUUAAGUCUGAUGUGAAAGCCCACGGCUCAACCGUGGAGGGUCAUUGGAAACUGGGAGACUUGAGUGCAGAAGAGGAUAGUGGAAUUCCAAGUGUAGCGGUGAAAUGCGUAGAGAUUUGGAGGAACACCAGUGGCGAAGGCGACUAUCUGGUCUGUAACUGACACUGAGGCGCGAAAGCGUGGGGAGCAAACAGGAUUAGAUACCCUGGUAGUCCACGCCGUAAACGAUGAGUGCUAAGUGUUAGGGGGUUUCCGCCCCUUAGUGCUGCAGCUAACGCAUUAAGCACUCCGCCUGGGGAGUACGGUCGCAAGACUGAAACUCAAAGGAAUUGACGG